UUACUUGUCUAAAGAACUAGGUUUUUAUCUAAGCACAACUCGUGGGGACCGUCUUUAGAAAAGUGAGUUUAUGCCUUUAGACUUUAUCAACAAAGAACGUACGAAAAUUGAGUAUAAUUGCUUGUCUUGACUGACGGACUGAUUUUCCAGAAUUUUUACUACGGUGCCAUCCACAGAUGGAUUGUCCCUUCGUGUGUAGGCUAAAGGAAAUGAAAUCGUGUUUAAUAACCCUUUAUUAUUGUAGGGUUCUGCACUUUUGGGGGCUUGUUUAUUGGCGGAACUGUUUAUCGAACAUUUACGGACAGAAAAGACUGUUUGAACCGUUUUAUUAAUAGUAAAAAAGUCUUCUGCUGGGUAGAUAUGUAAUAAACACGGAAUUUUAGUUAAUAAGUGAGUGGACGUAAUUUGUAUUUGGUGAGUUCUAUUGCUUUGGACACGCAUACACUCCACUUAAGCCAUAGCACGGUUGCAAAAAAAAUUAAAUACCUGCUCUAGCAUUUAAAUAAUUCACUUUUGCGGAUGCUACGGUUUAUAGAGUCCUAACUGAGGCCUAGCUUUUAGUCCAUGGAGGAGUUGAUCUUUUUUUUUUACAAAAAUUUUACUUUUUAUUCAUUUACAUUAUCACAAUCGUUUUUGUAUGCU